GGUGUUUCUUUCCGGGAAGGAUUACCCAAGGGAGGAAGUCCUUCCUCGCGGAGGGGAGCCCUUUCACAGAGGACUGUGUACAGGUAGCUCCCAGGAGCAUGCAGCGCCACCCGCCCGCCGUGCUUCCUACCCCCAUGCCGUUAACCUCGGACCCUGGGACACCAGCCUCGUCGGCCUUCCAACGUGCCCUGAAGACCGACGGCUUCUCCAGGAAUCUUCCAGACCUUCAGUGCUGGAGAUCCACAGCAUGGCCAUGUGGGCAUCCAGGACACAGGACCCAGUGUGGGUGAGCAUGAGGGACCUGCUCUGGGCACUGCGGGGACUUCGACAACUGCUGAAGGACUGUCCUACCCUGUGGGACACACGGAACAGGCUGUGAUGGAGGAAGUCUUGGCUGGCAACCUUGAGGAGGGCUGGCAAUUGGGCCAUGCAACACUCUGUCUCACCUGCUGGACAGGGACAGGAAGAUGUCUUCGGCAGAAGGGACAAGUAGAAGAGUGGACAGGGAAGGAGCCAGGGGACCAGAGAGGACAUGUUUCUGAAGCACUUGAACUUGCUCACUCACUGUGCUGUGGCUGAGAGAGGGGGGCUCCCUGGGGACCUUAGGACCAGACCCAUGGCCUGUGCCCCACAACCCAGCCGCCAAACGCUGAGACGUCUGGAGAGAACGUCUCUGUGUCGCAGGGAGAUGUG